CCUACGGGUGGCAGCAGUGAGGAAUAUUGGUCAAUGGCCGAGAGGCUGAACCAGCCAAGUCGCGUGAGGGAAGACGGCCCUACGGGUUGUAAACCUCUUUUGUCGGGGAGCAAAGAGAGUCACGUGUGACCCAUUGAGAGUACCCGAAGAAAAAGCAUCGGCUAACUCCGUGCCAGCAGCCGCGGUAAUACGUAGGUGGCAAGCGUUAUCCGGAUUUACUGGGUGUAAAGGGCGUGUAGGCGGGAGUACAAGUCAGAUGUGAAAACUAUGGGCUCAACCCAUAGCCUGCAUUUGAAACUGGACUUCUUGAGUGCUGGAGAGGCAAGCGGAAUGCCGGGUGUAGCGGUGAAAUGCGUAGAUAUACGGAGGAACACCAGUGGCGAAGGCGGAUUGCUGGACAGUAACUGACGCUGAGGCGCGAAAGCGUGGGGAGCAAACAGGAUUAGAUACCCCAGUAGUC
rnacentral:rRNA from 1 species